CCUACGGGAGGCAGCAGUGGGGAAUAUUGCGCAAUGGGGGUAACCCUGACGCAGCAACGCCGCGUGAGUGAAGACGUAUCUCGGUAUGUAAAGCUCUAUUAGUGGGGAAGUAGGAAGACGCUACUCGACUAAGAUGCCCGGGCCAACUACGUGACAGCAGCCGCGGUAAUACGGAGGGGGCGCGCGUUAUCCGGAUUUACUGGGUGUAACGGGAGCGUAGGCGGCGUAGCAAGUCUGAAGUGAAAGCCCGUGGCUCAACCGCGGCACCGCGUUGGAAACUGGGAGGCUUGAGUGCUCGGGAGGUAUGCGGAAUUCGUGGUGUAGCGGUGAAAUGCGUAGAUAUCAGGAAGAACUCCGAUUGCGAAGGCAGCUUACUGGAGAGUGACUGACGUUGAGGCUCGAAGGCGUGGGGAGCGAACAGGAUUAGAUACCCGGGUAGUC
rnacentral:rRNA from 1 species